rnacentral:rRNA from 1 species
UUAGAGUUUGAUCAUGGCUCACGAUUAACGCUGGCGGCGUGCUUAACACAUGCAAGUCGAACCCUUCUUCGGGUUAGUGGCGGACGGGUGAGUAACGCGUGAGAAUCUGCCCUCAGGAGGGGGAUAACGGUUGGAAACGACCGCUAAUACCCCAUAUGCCGAUAGGUGAAAUGAAUUUCGCCUGAGGAUGAGCUCGCGUCUGAUUAGCUAGUUGGUGAGGUAAUGGCUCACCAAGGCUUCGAUCAGUAGCUGGUCUGAGAGGAUGAUCAGCCACACUGGGACUGAGACACGGCCCAGACUCCUACGGGAGGCAGCAGUGGGGAAUUUUCCGCAAUGGGCGAAAGCCUGACGGAGCAACGCCGCGUGAGGGACGAAGGCCUCUGGGCUGUAAACCUCUUUUCUCAAGGAAGAAGAUAUGACGGUACUUGAGGAAUAAGCCACGGCUAAUUCCGUGCCAGCAGCCGCGGUAAUACGGGAGUGGCAAGCGUUAUCCGGAAUUAUUGGGCGUAAAGCGUCCGCAGGCGGCCUAUCAAGUCUGCUGUUAAAACGUGGAGCUUAACUCCAUCAUGGCAGUGGAAACUGAUAGGCUUGAGUAUGGUAGGGGCAGAGGGAAUUCCCGGUGUAGCGGUGAAAUGCGUAGAUAUCGGGAAGAACACCAGUGGCGAAGGCGCUCUGCUGGGCCAUUACUGACGCUCAUGGACGAAAGCCAGGGGAGCGAAAGGGAUUAGAUACCCCUGUAGUCCUGGCCGUAAACGAUGAACACUAGGUGUCGGGGGAAUCGACCCCUUCGGUGUCGUAGCUAACGCGUUAAGUGUUCCGCCUGGGGAGUACGCACGCAAGUGUGAAACUCAAAGGAAUUGACGGGGGCCCGCACAAGCGGUGGAGUAUGUGGUUUAAUUCGAUGCAACGCGAAGAACCUUACCAGGGUUUGACAUCCUGCGAACCUCUUAGAAAUUUGAGGGUGCCUUCGGGAAUGCAGUGACAGGUGGUGCAUGGCUGUCGUCAGCUCGUGUCGUGAGAUGUUGGGUUAAGUCCCGCAACGAGCGCAACCCACGUUUUUAGUUGCCAGCAUUUAGUUGGGCACUCUAGAAAGACCGCCGGUGAUAAACCGGAGGAAGGUGUGGAUGACGUCAAGUCAUCAUGCCCCUUACACCCUGGGCUACACACGUACUACAAUGCUACGGACAAAGGGCAGCAAACUCGCGAGGGCAAGCAAAUCCCAUAAACCGUGGCUCAGUUCAGAUCGUAGGCUGCAACUCGCCUACGUGAAGUAGGAAUCGCUAGUAAUCGCAGGUCAGCAUACUGCGGUGAAUACGUUCCCGGGCCUUGUA